rnacentral:rRNA from 1 species
ACAGAGGGGGCAAGCGUUGUUCGGAAUUACUGGGCGUAAAGGGCGCGUAGGCGGCCUGUUAAGUCAGACGUGAAAUCCCUCGGCUCAACCGGGGAACUGCGUCUGAUACUGGCGGGCUUGAAUUCGGGAGAGGGAUGUGGAAUUCCAGGUGUAGCGGUGAAAUGCGUAGAUAUCUGGAGGAACACCGGUGGCGAAGGCGGCAUCCUGGACCGACAUUGACGCUGAGGCGCGAAAGCCAGGGGAGCAAACGGGAUUAGAUACCCCGGUAGUCCUGGCCCUAAACGAUGAGUGCUUGGUGUGGCGGGUAUCGAUCCCUGCCGUGCCGAAGCUAACGCAUUAAGCACUCCGCCUGGGGAGUACGGUCGCAAGGCUG